rnacentral:rRNA from 15 species
AGAGUGCGUAACAGCUCACUAGUCGAGCGAUUGGGCGUGGAUAAUAAUCGGGCAUAAAGUAUAUUACCGAAGCUGUGGGAUAUUUAUAUCGGUAGGGGAGCAUUCUAGUUGCACUGAAGGUGUAUCGUAAGGUAUGCUGGAGCGGCUAGAAAAGAAAAUGUAGGAAUAAGUAACGAUAAAGCAGGCGAGAAACCUGCUCACCAAUAGACUAAGGUUUCC